CGCACAUUGCGCCCCUUGGCACUCCGAGGGGCAUGCCUGUUCGAGCGUCAUUUCACCCAUCAAGCCUGGCUUGGUAUUGGGCGCCGCGGCCUCCGCGCGCCUCAAAGUCUGGUCGGCCGGGUCGUUCUCCCCGUAGCGUUGUGGUUAAAACGUUCGCUAAUCGGGCGGGGGCGGCCGGCGCCGUUAAACCUCUCUCAAGGUUGACCUCGGAUCAGGUAGGGAUACCCGCUGAACUUAA
rnacentral:misc_RNA from 1 species